AUGGAGCCCGUGGACGCCCAACUGCGGCUCGGCCUGCCGAGCAGCGGCGGUGCGUUGGCGGCGACGGAUAGGAGGUACGUCAAGGUGAGCAUACAAGGAGCUCCCUACCUGCGGCAGGUGGACCUCAGGGCGUACGGAGGGUACGCGGAGCUGAGGGCUGCGCUCUUGAGCUUGGCUGGCCAGCAGUUGGGCUUGGCCGUGGCCUACGAGGACGAGGACGGCGACCUCAUGCUCGCCGGCGACCUCCCGUGGGACAUGUUCGUCGAUAGCUGCAAGAAGCUGCUCAUCUACAAGAGGAGGCUGAUUUGA
rnacentral:rRNA from 1 species